rnacentral:rRNA from 1 species
GGGCCCGCACAAGCAGUGGAGUAUGUGGUUUAAUUCGAAGCAACGCGAAGAACCUUACCAGGGCUUGACAUCCUACUAACGAAGCAGAGAUGCAUAAGGUGCCCUUCGGGGAAAGUAGAGACAGGUGGUGCAUGGUUGUCGUCAGCUCGUGUCGUGAGAUGUUGGGUUAAGUCCCGCAACGAGCGCAACCCUUACGGUUAGUUGCUACGCAAGAGCACUCUAGCCGGACUGCCGUUGACAAAACGGAGGAAGGUGGGGACGACGUCAAAUCAUCAUGCCCCUUAUGUCCUGGGCUACACACGUACUACAAUGGCGGCCACACAGAGGGAAGCAAAGCAGCGAUGCGGAGCAAAUCCCUAAAAGCCGCCCCAGUUCAGAUUGCAGGCUGAAACUCGCCUGCAUGAAGGCGGAAUUGCUAGUAAUCGCGGAUCAGCAUGCCGCGGUGAAUACGUUCCCGGGCCUU